rnacentral:rRNA from 1 species
UACAUGGGGUGCAAACGUUGCUCGGAAUUAUUGGGCGUAAAGCGCGCGUAGGCGGUUACUUAAGUCGGAUGUGAAAGCCCUCGGCUUAACUGAGGAAGUGCACCCGAAACUGAGUAGCUAGAGUACGAAAGAGGGUCGCGGAAUUCCCGGUGUAGAGGUGAAAUUCGUAGAUAUCGGGAGGAACACCGGUGGCGAAGGCGGCGACCUGGGUCGAGACUGACGCUGAGGCGCGAAAGCCAGGGGAGCGAACGGG